rnacentral:rRNA from 1 species
GAUGAACGCUAGCGGCAGGCUUAAUACAUGCAAGUCGUGGGGCAGCAUGAGUAGCAAUACUUGAUGGCGACCGGCAAACGGGUGAGGAACACGUACACAACCUUCCUUCAAGCGGGGAAUAGCCCAGAGAAAUUUGGAUUAAUACCCCAUAAUAUAUUUGAUAAGGCAUCUUAUUAAAUAUUAAAGCUUCGGCACUUGAUGAUGGGUGUGCGGCUGAUUAGAUAGUUGGCGGGGUAACGGCCCACCAAGUCUACGAUCAGUAGCUGAUGUGAGAGCAUGAUCAGCCACACGGGCACUGAGACACGGGCCCGACUCCUACGGGGAGGCAGCAGUAAGGAAUAUUGGACAAUGGACGAAAGUCUGAUCCAGCCAUGCCGCGUGAAGGAUUAAGGUCCUCUGGAUUGUAAACUUCUUUAUAUGGGACGAAAAAGGGCAUUCUUGUUCACUUGACGGUACCAUAUGAAUAAGCACCGGCUAACUCCGUGCCAG